CACAAAUAUCAUUGUAAUAGUAUUAUAAAAUACUAAUAGAAAUAUUUUUGACUUUUUCUUUUUAUUUGUAUUAUGUUUUUAUCAAUAAGUAAAAAAUAAAUAGGACUCUUACGCCGGACGGAGGUAAUAGUAUAUAUUGAGACCAAUUGUAAUAUGUAUUGUAGAUUAUUAUUAUUACAUAUUGUCAUAUAUUGUAUUAUUCAAUAUUAACAUAAAUUGUGUGACGUUUAUUUGUGUUGUACUAGCAAUGUGAAUUUGUAACAUGUAUUGAUCCUGCCAUGUGAUUUAGUUCAUAUAUUAUAAUAAUUCCUCCGUCUCAAUACAAUAGUCUUAUUUAUCAUUUUUGUUCGUCCCAAAUAAUAGUCUCAUUUUCAUAAAUAAUCAUAUCACUAUAAAACUAUCCUUACUUUUUUAUUAUUAUUACACAAUUGUCAUUAUUUUUUACACUAAUACACUCACAAGAGCAAAAAAAAAUUUUAUCCGUGUUUUUUACUCACUACCAAUAUAAUAUCAAUAUUUCUUGAAUAUUGUGUCAAACACUAUAGUUUUGGGACGAAGGGAGUAUAAAUUAUGCAUGCAUUUGCAUUGAGAGUCCGUGUGUUGUAUUGCUCAUGUAUAUUUGAUUUACUUUGAAUAGGUUGCAAGGGUAAAUUAUACUAUAGGAUAUUUUUUAUAUUGCAAGUAAAAAUAUAUUUUCUUCGUCAAUUCAACAUAUGCAAUUUUUGUCCCUUUAGGGAUAGUCUGGUGGUGUAGGGGUUGAACUUGUGACUGUGAGACCAUGGGGUUCGACGCCUCAGGUCACCUGCCGCAUAUAGUUCGCCUAGUGUGACUUGCCUUGUCGGGCCUAAUUUGCAGUUGGGGAGGCUCAGUGGUGAAGAAUGGUGUGGAUAGGUCUGGAGUUGGAGUCCUGGAUCUGAAAGGAUGGAUGGAGAUCCAGCAACGCUAGACUAGACAACUUUUGGUUUGACCAUUGUUUUCUUAGUUCCAGCUCAUUUAUCUAGUUUGUUGACAGAAGUUUUCAACUCUACCUUCGUCUAUUUAUAAUGUUUAUAUAUUUUUAUUUUGGAAUGUUCAA